rnacentral:rRNA from 1 species
GACAGAGGGUGCAAACGUUGUUCGGAAUUACUGGGCGUAAAGCGCGUGUAGGCGGCUGGGCAAGUCGGAUGUGAAAGCCCUGGGCUUAACCUAGGAAGUGCAUUCGAAACUGCCGAGCUGGAGUUCUGGAGAGGAAGGCGGAAUUCUCGGUGUAGAGGUGAAAUUCGUAGAUAUCGAGAGGAACACCGGUGGCGAAGGCGGCGACCUGGGCAGAUACUGACGCUGAGGUGCGAAAGCGUGGGGAGCAAACAGG